rnacentral:rRNA from 1 species
UGGGGAAUAUUGCACAAUGGGCGAAAGCCUGAUGCAGCAACGCCGCGUGUGUGAAGAAGGCCUUCGGGUUGUAAAGCACUUUGUCCGGAAAGAAAUCCUUGGCUCUAAUACAGUCGGGGAUGACGGUACCGGAAGAAUAAGCACCGGCUAACUACGUGCCAGCAGCCGCGGUAAUACGUAGGGUGCAAGCGUUAAUCGGAAUUACUGGGCGUAAAGCGUGCGCAGGCGGUUUGCUAAGACCGAUGUGAAAUCCCCGGGCUCAACCUGGGAACUGCAUUGGUGACUGGCAGGCUAGAGUAUGGCAGAGGGGGGUAGAAUUCCACGUGUAGCAGUGAAAUGCGUAGAGAUGUGGAGGAAUACCGAUGGCGAAGGCAGCCCCCUGGGCCAAUACUGACGCUCAUGCACGAAAGCGUGGGGAGCAAAC